AGUGAACGCUGGCGGUAGGCCUAACACAUGCAAGUCGAACGGCAGCACAGUAAGAGCUUGCUCUUACGGGUGGCGAGUGGCGGACGGGUGAGGAAUACAUCGGAAUCUACUUUUUCGUGGGGGAUAACGUAGGGAAACUUACGCUAAUACCGCAUACGACCUACGGGUGAAAGCAGGGGAUCUUCGGACCUUGCGCGAUUGAAUGAGCCGAUGUCGGAUUAGCUAGUUGGCGGGGUAAAGGCCCACCAAGGCGACGAUCCGUAGCUGGUCUGAGAGGAUGAUCAGCCACACUGGAACUGAGACACGGUCAAGACUCCUACGGGAGGCAGCAGUGGGGAAUAUUGGACAAUGGGCGCAAGCCUGAUCCAGCCAUACCGCGUGGGUGAAGAAGGCCUUCGGGUUGUAAAGCCCUUUUGUUGGGAAAGAAAAGCAGCAGGUUAAUACCCAGCUGUUCUGACGGUACCCAAAGAAUAAGCACCGGCUAACUUCGUG
rnacentral:rRNA from 1 species